rnacentral:rRNA from 1 species
CAGCCGCCGCGGUAAUACGUAUGUCACGAGCGUUAUCCGGAUUUAUUGGGCGUAAAGCGCGUCUAGGUGGUUAUAUAAGUCUGAUGUGAAAAUGCAGGGCUCAACUCUGUAUUGCGUUGGAAACUGUAUAACUAGAGUACUGGAGAGGUAAGCGGAACUACAAGUGUAGAGGUGAAAUUCGUAGAUAUUUGUAGGAAUGUCGAUGGGGAAGCCAGCUUUCUGGACAGAUACUGACGCUGAAGCGCGAAAGCGUGGGUAGCAAGCAGGAUUAGAUACCCCGGUAGUCCCUGUCUCUUAUACA